UAUGGGGCGCAGCAGGCGAGAAAACUUUGCAAUGUGCGAAAGCACGACAAGGUUAAUCCGAGUGGUUUCUGCUAAAGAAACCUUUUGUCGGUCCUAGAAACACCGAUGAAUAAGGGGUGGGCAAGUUCUGGUGUCAGCCGCCGCGGUAAAACCAGCACCUCAAGUGGUCAGGAUGAUUAUUGGGCCUAAAGCAUCCGUAGCCGGCUCUGUAAGUUUUCGGUUAAAUCUGUACGCUCAACGUACAGGCUGCCGGGAAUACUGCAGAGCUAGGGAGUGGGAGAGGUAGACGGUACUCGGUAGGAAGGGGUAAAAUCCUUUGAUCUAUUGAUGACCACCUGUGGCGAAGGCGGUCUACCAGAACACGUCCGACGGUGAGGGAUGAAAGCUGGGGGAGCAAACCGGAUUAGAUACCCGGGUAGUCCCAGCUGUAAACUAUGCAAACUCAGUGAUGCAUUGGCUUGUGGCCAAUGCAGUGCUGCAGGGAAGCCGUUAAGUUUGCCGCCUGGGAAGUACGUACGCAAGUAUGAAACUUAAAGGAAUUGGCGGGGGAGCACCACAAGGGGUGAAGCCUGCGGUUCAAUUGGAGUCAACGCCAGAAAUCUUACCCGGAGAGACAGCAGAAUGAAGGUCAAGCUGAAGACUUUACCAGACAAGCUGAGAGGUGGUGCAUGGCCGUCGCCAGCUCGUGCCGUGAGAUGUCCUGUUAAGUCAGGUAACGAGCGAGAUCCCUGCCUCUAGUUGCCACCAUUACUCUCAGGAGUAGUGGGGCGAAUUAGCGGGACCGCCGCAGUUAAUGCGGAGGAAGGAAGGGGCCACGGCAGGUCAGUAUGCCCCGAAACUCUGGGGCCACACGCGGGCUGCAAUGGUAAUGACAAUGGGUUCCGAAUCCGAGAGGAGGAGGUAAUCCCCAAACAUUACCACAGUUAUGACUGAGGGCUGCAACUCGCCCUCACGAAUAUGGAAUCCCUAGUAACUGCGUGUCAUUAUCGCGCGGUGAAUACGUCCCUGCUCCUUGCACACACCGCCCGUCGUUUCAUUGAAGUGAGCUCUUAGCGAGGUGACGUCUGAUUGGCGUUAUCGAACCUGAGGUUCGUGACAAGGGAAAAGUCGUAACAAGGUAACC
rnacentral:rRNA from 1 species